UGGAAAGAGCAGUGAAGUCAUGCUAUCGAGUCUGGUGCUCUUCAGCAUAGUCCUGAAAGAGGUGGAGAAUGAGGAAAAAAGUCUCCUGAUGCUACCAGAUCAGACAGGAUAGAUGAGGUGAGGAUGUGCUAUGAGACUGCAAAACAACCUCACCAUAGAGAGUGACUGAAGGAUGACCUGCCAGUUGAAAUUCAAUGUUGAUGAACAUAGAAUAGUGCAGAGGAAGAUAAACAAUUCUAAAUUGAAAUACACAGUGAUGGAAUCUAAAUUAUCAUUUGGCAAGAAACCUUGGCUUAUAAUAAUUAUAUAAAAAUGUCUGCUGAAUGUGCAGUAGGAAUGAGAAAAAGAAAAAAACCUGAAUACUGGGACUGAUUGGUGAAGAAAUUGUGAACAAAAAGAGUAGUCUUUAUGCUGCAGCAUAAAUGCAUGGCAUACUUCAAUAUUGCAUCCCUGCUCCAUCAUUUUAGAAAGGAUGCAGAAGAAGGGGAGAUGAUACAGGAAAUAUUGAUAAAAAUGUGAAGUGACUCCCAUAUGGAAAACAACACUUGGGCAUCUAUCUGAGCAGGAAGAAACAAAAGUCUGUGAACUAUCAAGAGGCAUGGAGAAAGAAAAUAGAAAAUGCCCAUUUGGCAUUGCCCAUGCCAUGGGAGCCAAGCACUCUCAAGAGAAUGGUUAGGUGACAAUUUUAAAGCUAGCAAAAAGGACUUCCUGUAGCUGUGAAAUUGCCCUGGGAUAUUAUAGAUGCCAAGAGUUCCCAUGCCAACAGGGGUGUUUGGACCUACCCCUUAAAGAAAAUUCUCCCAAAGGCUAUUGUACACAAAAAUGCACUUCUGGUUCAGGGAAUCACCUCAACAGAGAUUUCUGGGAGCUGGGGAGUCCCAGAGGUUGGGACAGUGGGACUGGGGAAGAGGCUGAGGCUGUUUGCACUUGCCUGAGGAGGAAAAAGUGAAAGUCAUGAGUGUGAUAGGAUGCUUGACCUCCUUAGUCUCUGAGCCAAUCCCAUCUGUCUCUUCCUGUGUAAUUACACCCACCCUGUGCCAGGGUAUUGUUUAAAUACAUGACAAACAAGCUCCUGCCCUUUAAAAGCAAUUUGAGCUUUUGUGGAAGGAUUUCAGUAAGUGUUCUUGCAGAAGAGAAAGGCAGAAGGAUUUUAAAAAAGAGAAUUCUGAGAUGGACAAAACCAGAUUCAGGGUGAAGUCCUAAUUUGCAAAGAUAUUUUAUUACUUUUGAAGGGUUGUUUUGUCUUAGUAGCUGUAUCCAUAGUAUCUUAGUGUGUCACCCACAUGUGAAUAACAGUAAUGUUGAUGUCUGGCAAUAAUCUCCAAAUUGUGAACAUCUUUCUAUCCAGGCACUUGCUGUAGCUUUUCAGAGAGACUGAAAUGCAGCUGACCUGAAUAAAACCUGUGUACUGAAACACCUGAUUUUCUUUUCUUUGAGGGUAUUGUAAUGUGUGCAGUGUAUGUGCUAAAUACGUUGCUUUCUAGUUGGCUCUCCACGUUAUGUUGGAUUGCAACAGACUGCUCUCUGUCACACCUGAUGACUAAACCUGUCUCACCCACGCCAUGGGAAAGUACUGGUGCAUUGAGCCUUCUUAGAAUCAAGCUUUAGGUUGUCCUCAGAUUUCAAAUCUCCUGUGCACUUUUUUUAAUAUGGCCUCUAACUCAAGAGAUACAAGCACAAAUGGAUUCCAGGCAACAAUUAAUCAGAUAAGUAUUUAUUUAUUUAACUCAACCUAUAGAAUUAUGCUGGCAAUAGUUUGUUUUUAUUUAUUUUUUUUUAGUUAGACUUUAAUGGAGCAAAAGACUGUCUUUUAAACAUUUUUCUCUCUUUUUCAGGCGUCUACACGGAAGCAUUCUGGAUUUCAUUGGCCAUGAUGCCUGUGACUGAUUACAAAAUCUGCUGCUGAAGCAACUUCUAGAGGUGGUGGAAGACCUACGGUUGUGGAUCCUUUGCACAUAUAAAUGUUAUUGUGUGUGUCUGUUUGACCAUGGUAGGAUAUUUAAUGUAUCACAGAAACAAGUUUUGUAUCUCCAGUUUCAGUGUCCCUCUCAUCAUAGAGCCUUCCUUUCAAACAUAUUUUCCCCUGUUUGUGCCUUUAAGAAAAAGAAAAAAAACCCCAAACCUUGAAAAAUUGUAACACUCUAUGAAAAGUAUACACUAUUGUCAUCUUCUGGGGAGAAGGGGAACUAACGCUACUGUGUCCGUUGUUGUUGUAAGUGAAAUGUGGUGUACAGCAUGCUAAGUAAUUGCUCAGUCAAAUGUCAGUGUGAAUUCAGAAAUCCUCAGUAGAGGAAAGAAAUAAAUAUUUUUAUUUUCUCUAAAA